rfam:Schistosoma mansoni strain Puerto Rico chromosome 3, complete genome
AUCCAGCUGACGAGUCCCAAACAGAACGAAACGCGCGUCCUGGAU